rnacentral:lncRNA from 1 species
CUCGAUUAGCUGCGUUGCCAGGCGCUUGCCACUGCAGCUCCUUUCCGCCCCGCUGCCCUGAGCCCCUCGCACUCUGAAAAGCGCCAUUUAAAAUUAAUUAAAGCUUUUCGGAUUCGCCACCGAAUCCCCCUUCGGCAGACUGAAUUUUCAUUCUGCUCCACAGUCUUCCGCAAGGUGGAACAGCAAGCUGAUGUUGCAGUGUGUGGAACAGAGCACUGGCAAAAAGAGACUUUAACGAAAAGGAUUUUCUCUCUCCUCAACAUCACACCAGGGCAAACAUGCAAAAAAGUUUCUAUCAAGCAAAGAGAGAGAGAAGUGAGAGAAAUCCAGCUUUUGAACGUGAACAUGGAACUAACAAGAAGAGCUCUUUCUCAUCACGGGACUAAUUUUGUACUUCAUGCCUUCACAAGCAGGAAAAAGGCUGAAAUUCCCGAUUUUCAAACCUAGACCUGGAACUAUGUCAUUCUUCCAAAUUGAUAACAGAAAUGUCUAAUUCCACUCAUUAUUUUAUAUCAAGGAAAUGUUUUUAAACUGGUUACGUAUGCAUGCAAGUAGAUGAAGGUUGGUACCCUACACAAGGUAUGAGAGUAAAUGACAACCAUUAAAAGAUAUGUUUGUUUAAACCCACAGGUCUGCAGAGUUCUUCCACUGGAUGAGCUCAUUAAUAAAACCCUUGUGCAUCACACAGUCUCAUUUGCCAGCAAAACCUCCAAGAGAAUCACAGAAACAAACGUAAAUCCCGAGCAUGACGCACUGCUGAGCCCUGUCACAUGGCAGGUGAAAUUAUUCCAGUAAAGCAAACAGACUGGAUGUCCUGCAGGAGUUCACUGUAGCACCAGCCUCAGUGCUAUGAUUGUUUUUGCUUACGCUAGCCACACAAUAUUCAAUUGCAAAUAAUUUGGAGAUUUUCAUCACCUGACUUUUUGCACAAAACAUGGGUUUUUCUUUCUCUUCAGGUCCAUCGUUUAAAAGAGAAAGCCUCUGAAAGACAGUAACCAGUCACACAUGGACAAACACACAUCAUGAAGUGAAAGAGAAAUUACUUUUUUGUCAGCUAAGGGUCUUAAAAUGUGUUCCAUACAAUUAGGCAUUUUUCACAUAGAGAAUUAAAUUCAUUAAAAAU